UCUCGGAUGAGAGGUGAAACAUCUUCAAGCAACUCAAAGAAGUCCAGAUGCUUUUCUUUCCAAGCUCCUUAGAUCAGUUGAUCAUUUUCAAUUCAUCCUAACAAUCUCUCUUUAUUUAAAUCAUUGUCAGUCUGUCACAAAUGCAAUAGACAACUGCUGAAUUUGAUUUCUCAUUAGUGUAAUUUAUGUUUAUAAAAACAUUCAUGAAUUUCAGAGAUAUGAAAAGCUGACAUACUCGACCUAUGAAACAUUAUCAUCAGCAAAAAUAAAAACUGGAUCUCUAAAGUUGUGGUGAGGAAGUGACAUCUCACUGAUGAAAGGAAGUACAAACCGUCCUAAAGAGUCAUCAGUUCAGAGACUGUGACAGUCGAGAUUGAGAACGAGAAUGAAGUGAGACAGAGAAGCACGAUGGAUGAAUUCAGAUGGAUUCAAAUGUUUUUAUGUCUGAUGAUUCAGAUUGCAGUAUCUGUAAAUGAAUCAUCCAUGUUUAUGAAAGUUGGAGGUGACGUCACUCUGCCUUGUCUAAAUGUGAUAGAUGAGCAGAAUAACUGUGAUGGUACUACGUGGGUCUUUACUUCAAGAAACAGAGAAACAGUAGAGCUGAUCAAACUUGGACAGAUUGGUGAAGAAGCUAAAACUAAAUCAGACAGACUGAGUGUUACAGCGAACUGUUCUCUGCUUAUAAAGAAGCUCACAGUUGAGGAUGUUGGUCUUUAUUCCUGUCAACAAUAUAGAUUAGGAAGAACACGAGCUGAGGACACUCUGGUUCAUCAGUCUUUCAUUGAUCUCUCUGUUAUUACCUUGACUGAACAUGAGGACACUGAUACGGUGAUGUUAAGCUGCUCUGUGGUGACAUAUGAACAGUGUCAUCACACAGUGAAGUGGCUGAUUGAAAGUCGAGAUGUGGACAAAGAGAACAGAGAAAUAGUGACCUCACAGACUGACUGCGCUGCCACUGUGUCUUUUCUUGAGUCUCACUCUAUUUAUCCAUCAAGGUAUAAUAUAAUGAAAUGUGAAGUGACUGACACUAACACAAGAAGAGUGCAGCUGUUUACAUUCAGCCUUCAGCCCUCAGGUGAGGAAACAGGUGACACAAAAACAACAACGAAUCCAGCCAGAAAAACUGAAAUAAGCACAAAAUCAGAAACAAACCCAACAAUCAAGAGUCCUUCAAAACCAGCUAUCCAGUGGUUCAUCAUUCCAGCUGUGGGUUUGGUCUCACUCUUGGUAAUUGUUGUGGUUUUCAUCAGAUGGAAGAGAACUAGAGGAAAUAAAACACAGAUGGAUGAAGAUGCUGGACUUAGUUUAAACCCUGCAGAGACUCGGUCUGCUCCUCAAACCAGUCAGCUCUCGGCGGAUCCUGAACCUUCAUAUGCCACCGUCAGCUACACCAAGAACACCAACGGUAACACCAGGAUUUGGGGUGAUGAUGACAAUGAUGCGACCUACUGCACUGCUCCUUUCGCUUCUACUGCAGCCACUGCUGAUCCCGACAACCUCUACUCUACUGUCAACUUUCCAAUCACAUAGCACAAGCAGCUCACAAAAGGACUUGUAUAUAAUGGAAAAUCCUUUUUUUCAAUUUCAAAUGGACCAUGAUGGUAGCAACAUGCUAAUUAGGCAUAAAUUAUUUUUUUAAACCCAUAAAUAGAUAUAUAUCUACUUUUUUAUUGAAAAUAUAAUUGGUGCCUGGACUACUUUACCAGAGUUAUGAGCUGUAGCAGAUGCUCCAAAGAAGGCUGGCUAGACAGAAAAUAUACCACCAUUACAUCAAACACUGGCAUUCCUGGCAGCUGGACUGCAACAUGACCCACAGCGUUCAAAGUCAUUUAGUGUUGGUGCCUUUUUUGAGAAUUUCUUCUUGUGUUUCUCGUUCCCUCGUGUUCCCUCUGUCUCAUCUAUGUGCUUGUAUCCUCUGUAAUCAUGUUUAGGGUCAGCCAUGUCUUUUCUUUAUUUCCUGUUUUAGUGUUUUUUUUAUGCUUUGCAUUAGUUUUACUUCCUUCUUUGGGAUUUCCUGCGCUUACUGUCUUCAUCUGUGUAUAGUUACAUACAGUUGUAUCUCAUUGAUUUCCUGUUUCGCUUUACCCACUUAGCAGUGUCUUAUCUGCCUUUUGGCUUUGUUUUAGUCACAUUAUCUGUUGUGCUUCAUUGGUUAAGUUUUACAGUGUUUUGCUUAUUUUUGACACUUAGAUUUUGCUGUUGUUUGAUUGUUUGUUUGUUUGUUUGUUUGUUUGUUUGUUCGUCCUUUAGUCCUCCAAUUUAGCCAGUUAAAUAACUCUCUCUUUGCUCUGUUCUUCCUGCAUUUGUGUCCUGUUCACAUCUACUCUAUUUACUUGUCAGUCUUCUUGUCAUUAAAUUUAAAAUGUAAUAUAAGUGUAUAUAAGUGUAAUGUCUUGUAACCCAUUUGUUUAACAUCUUUCUUUAUUGAAGAGAGAUGUUUUGUAUUGCAUGAAGUCACAAAACUGAUCAACCAAAACAAUAAAAGCACCUGUGUAUUUUAUUAUUAUUCCAUUUAGGUCUCCUCUGUGCCUGAGUGUCUUAUGGGUCCAGAAUGACCAUGUGAGCUGUGUCGACUGUAGGCCAUGUGAUGGUGCCUGUGGACUGAAC
ensembl:lncRNA